UACGUAGGGUGCAAGCGUUAAUCGGAAUUACUGGGCGUAAAGCGUGCGCAGGCGGUGAUGUAAGACAGAUGUGAAAUCCCCGGGCUCAACCUGGGACCUGCAUUUGUGACUGCAUCGCUAGAGUACGGUAGAGGGGGAUGGAAUUCCGCGUGUAGCAGUGAAAUGCGUAGAUAUGCGGAGGAACACCGAUGGCGAAGGCAAUCCCCUGGACCUGUACUGACGCUGAGGCGCGAAAGCGUGGGGAGCGAACAGG
rnacentral:rRNA from 1 species